GUUCCAGUGUUAUUCCACUACUUUAUUACAGAUACUGGUGAAUUGAGAAUAAGUGAUUUAUGCUUUUCCUUGAAAAAUAUUUUUAUCAUGUACUGAAUGUCCUGGUUCAAAUAUGCCAUAAAUAACCAAGUCUUUUCCAUUUAUUUAAAAGUAUAUUGCCAUUUGAAUUAAAAUUUCAUUAUAUUUAUAGUGACAUUAUAUACUGCUUCUGUCUCUAAAAAAUGCGUAUUAAUUAAAACUGAAGGCAUUUACAGGGACAAAGCAAGCAAACAAAACUGCAAACUGGUACCACAGCUUACCAAAGUAACAUAAACACAAAUAUUUAGUUCAAGAGUUUAUACAUUAUGGUGGGGAACACUUCUCAAAAUAUUUUCAAUUUCCUGACUUCAGGUGGCUGAGAUUUGUGAGAAAUUUAAUGACACACAAUUUAAUUUAUUUUUAAAUUAAAAUAAUAAUCUUAAAUUAUUUGUUUAACUCACAAAAGGUUUAAAAGGUCAAAAUCAAAACAAACCACUUACUUAUUUUCCUGGAUACUUGUUUAAAGAGAUUUGUUGAAAUUUUCAGCUUUGAUUUCAAAUGAGAAACAUUUCAAAGACCGGAAAUCUCUACCUGAGAAAGCAGUUCAAUCUAUAGUCGAAGUGAGUGGAUUAUUUGCAGCAGACAACUUGUUAUGAGACUGUAAAAGGGAGAGGUUUCUUCCUCUCAGAGAAGGUAACUGCUGUUUUCUUUAUUUGGUUUCAGGAUAUCAUUCAUCAAAUGUUUAUUUUAGCUGCUACUGUGCACCUCCCUAAACUCUCGUAACCAUAGUUCUAAUGUUUGCAUUCUAGGACUAGUCAUCUAAAUCAAUAAUUUCUACUCAUUCAGGCACAGAACAGCAAUAUCAAAAACCAGGAAGAAAGGUAUCACUAAGGCCUUGUGGUUUUCAAUGGCUACUCCAGUAUACUGAAUACUGAGGCAGUGAGCUGCAGAGUUUUGGCUCUCAAGCUUGUGCAAGAGUUUUACUGACUGGAAAAACUGAGGUAUAACAUGAUCCGAAAUUAAAUUAAAAA
rnacentral:lncRNA from 1 species